GGUGUUCCCUGUUAUCCCCAUUAUUAGGGUAUGGGUAGCAUUAAAGAUAAUGCACUCUGUGUUAAUUUAAAAGGGUUGUUUCAAUCUCAGUCUUGCUGAGUGGGGAGUCAUCAGUGUGAGGAUACACAUUAAAAACAAAUCCUAAGUCACUGAAGAAUUGUACAGCCCUGCUUUUUCAGAGCAUUUGAUCUUCGUAGUGCUUUAGCUUGCUCCUUCCUUACAUCCUGUGUAGAUUUUUACAUUACACCUCACUUGGCAAACACGAAUUGCAGGAAGUCAGGAAUUGCUGGGAACAGGAGCACUGUGUUCGGGUGUCGGAGCUGCGCCCCACGCCUCAGGGAAGAGAACAGCAGUGCUUGAAGGGCUGGAGGGACCCAGAGCCUCAGUUCUCCUUCUCCAGCACAGGGGAAGAAGCGUUUCCCUCCCCCCCUGAGUGCUGACACGUUUAGUCCAAUCUGACUUGCAAAGAGCGUUGUGGGCCUUAUGGAAAAGGUGCUACAGAAAUCACAGAAUAUUUUCCUGCUCUCCCUGGCAGGGCAGCACUAGUGUUAUGGAUGGUCCUGCUGCCAUGCAUCUCCCUCUGGCUGACAGUGGGAGCAAUUCAUGUAUAUAAAGCUAAGGGGACCAUUUAGAAGGCUCUUGCUCUAAAUAAUCUGCUAACACUUGUGAUGUACUGAAAGCUGAAAAGCUGAGAAGUUGCUGUUUUCAGGGGAUUUUACAGCAGAAAUGUGCACACGUGUGGCUUGGGAGCUGCACAGGAAAAGAGCUGGCUCUCAAGCAGUGUAUUUUCUUUACUCCUCCUUCUAUUUCACAGCCCUCAUUAUUCAUUUUUCAGUUUUACUGGUAGUUUAUAAGUUAACCAGCUGUUCUUUAACACUGUUCUCUUAUUUCAGGUUUUCUUGAUUGGAUCGGAAAGAAUGCAGACCCAGCCUGGGGCAGAGGGAGCGGGGUGGCCAGAGCCAAUGACACAGCCUGCACACAGUAGGGUUAGCAGGCGCCUGUUUUGGGGAAACCCAGCUUAUAAUUUAGAACAAGCCUCUAAUUCUGAUUCGGCAUUUAUAUUUGUGGGAAAUGCUCCCCAGGAGAGCAUCCAGUGCAGCACAGCCACUGGCAGCCCAGCAGCCAACACUGAUGCUCCAAAUCUUUUUUGUGUGUUUAGAAGUGUAUUCCUGCCUACUCAGCCAAAAUGAGGGUGUUGCUUCAGUCUCACCAGACUGGAAAUCAUACAGGCACAUCAUAUGGAAAACAAACGAUUAUAAAUGUGCAGCCCUUCACCAGCAGUUACAGCUCGUCCUUCCUCCCUGCCUGGAUUUCUGUAUUCUGCCUUAACUCAGUGGUUUCCCUUAUGUUUGUUUGUUUGUUUUCUUUCAAUGGCAAAUGAUGCUUAAAAUACCACAGUCAGAACUGCUCCUCUGGCAUUGUUAGUGUUUGCUGUGUUCUUCAUCUACAGUUUCUGAGGAUGAAAAUGAGUCUUAAACAUCUCGAAUAGCUGACAAGGUAAUACUAGCAAAUCACGAAUGAGUGAUUGAUUUAUGAAUUUGUGUAAGUAUGGCCACUGGACACCUCCCUGUCUGUGUACGUGUGUGCCCUGCCUUGCCAGGUACAACCUCACUCAUGGAAUAACGUUUUUUCUAUGCCUGCUGCAAGCGCCACACAGAGGAGCCUCAUUGCUCUGCAGAGACUGUGCCAUGAAAAACAAACACUGACACCCAAACUCUUCCAGCAGUUAAACCAAGCAUGAGUUUAUGGUAACUGAGCUUCCAGGGGCAGCAAGCACCAUGGCCCAAACAGGAAAUUUGAAGUCUGAUUUUGCUAGGCAAUGUGUGAGUACAGAACUGAUUGACACCUGGGUACCUCUGCUCUCUGAGUAAUGAUUCCAAAAGGCCAGUGCUUACAUUCAGACAUAAUUUCUAUACCGUGCCUUUGACAGGCAGAUGAAGGCAGGUGUGCCCAUGAGACUGGCUGGCUUCCAUUUGCACUACCAGCUGCUGCCAUACCGGUGCAGUGGAGCCACGUUGAACUGGUGCUUGGAGCUGUGGCCAGGUAAGGCUUUCAGCAUCGGCUGUGCAAGGGGAGGCUGCUACCAGUCUGGGAGGUGCUGCAUGCAAACAGGUACUCUGAGGGGAAUGCACUGCUGGCGUGUGGGCACACACAGGAGGUGUGUGAGGCUGAGGUGGUGCAUGCACUGCUGGGGUGAGUCCUUACUGCAGCAAGGCUGUGCUGGGACACCAGGGAGGCAUCACCAUGAGUUAGAGUGGUCCCAAGGAUGCUGUCGCUUGCAAGCUUUGGAUGAGUCCUCUCCCAUCUUUGCCCUCAGUCCCCUUCACAAGCGAUAUGCCUAUUAAUUUAAAAGGAAAGAAAAAAGAUUGCAAGUCCUGAUAUGAUGCUUUUCUUUACCAAGUGAAAUGCUGAAAGCAUUAAAUGUGUAAAGUGAGGGAUGUUGUGAAACGGUUGAGGAAUGGCUUUACGUGCAGCACGUGUUUGUUGUAUUUGUUGUCAGCAGUAGCCACACUGCUGACAGCUGAUGAUGGUUUGCCAUUGGCUCUGGAUGUGGAAAAGUGGUCUCAAUGACAGCAAACAAAUAGAUUCCUUACAAUUAGAUCAAGGCCGCGGACUCUUAGCAUGAUUGCUGUGACAAGGCCCUGUUUUUUGCAACAUGAUCCAUGUAUACAAAUCCCACAUGGAGCAGAGGACAAAACUGCAGUAUUUAUUUGACAUUUCAGUUGAGAAGGAGAAUAAACGUGUUCUGUACUCAUCUUUUUUUUUCAGCAAAAACAAUUAACUUUGGAACAAGGGCUUUGAUCUCUAUCUCUGACAUCACCUUUACACUGAUGUGAUCCUAUAGGCUGCCGUGGGUCAUUGCUGAUUCACACUGGUGUGAGCAGGGAACAAACAGGCUCUGUGCUUAUGGGGCAGUGAAGGUGUUUAUAUUCUGUGAAAAGAAAGAAAAUCGGUUACACAUCUUAAGAGGUAAAUAAGUUAACCAAGAAAUUCAGAUGGAGCCAAAAGCAUUAUAAGCAAGGAUACUGCAAGAAUGUUCUAACUGUACUGCUAGUUUAAAAAUAUACAUAGCCUAAUUAAGUAAAGAUUGACUUAGCUAUAAA